UGCAGUUGUUGUAUAAGUUCUUUGAUCGACAAGGGUUCUGUUUGUCCUUCCUGUGACCUGCCUUUUCUUCCUAAAGAUAUAAGGCUUGCUUUACAUGUGGAAAGGCUUGUGAGCAUUUUUCAAGAGAUGGAUGAUGCUAUCGGCACCAUUGUUCAAAGGAAAGCAUCUCCUCCUGGUUCCCCUGGUGUAAGGAUACCUGCCAAAAAAAACCCAGUCUCAGUCAACAAUCAUAUCGAAGCUAAGUCAAUAGGAGUACAACAUAUGCCCCAAGAGAAAUCGGGCCAUCUCCAUUCGCAUGGUUCUCCAUUGACUGGUGAGGGUAGUAAUAAAACUAGACAUGAUGGAGAAAAUCAGGAAAUAAUUUUAGUUGGAAGCAUGAAUUCGGAGCAAAAGUCUGGUAUAGUUGUUCCUUUGGACAAAGGGUCGCCUGAUUGCCCUUCAACAUUUAGCGAGAAUGGGGAUUCUAAUUUGGACAUUCAUGAUAGAUAUUCU